rnacentral:rRNA from 1 species
AUGGUGGAGUUUUAUUUAUAUGAUGAGCAUAAGGUGAUGCCACUUUAUGAUUUUUGUCGGGUUUGUUUGAUCCCUUUCGAGGGCACAAUAGAGGAACCACAUCACGGCGAUGUGGAUGGGUUUAUUGAUACAAUUACUGUAGGGGAAACGAGGAAGGUUUCCGAUGCACGAAUCACUAGCAUACAUUUUCCUGUUUUAUGCUACUUUGCAAUAUUUGCUAGUCGUUGCUUAAUUGGUCGUGGAAACUGUGGAAACCUUAGUGUUCCUGAUAUUAUUAUUUUGUUCCACGGUUUAUUCAGUGAUAUCUCUGUUAGUAUGGGCGGUAUUAUUGCUAAACGGUUAAGUCUGAACCGUACAAAGGGCCCCAUCUUUGGAGGCAUCUAUGCUUCUCGCCUACCUGCACAUUUUAACAUACCUAUUAGGCAUUAUGAGAAGGAAGAAAAAUUGCUGCCUCGUGUUUAUUUAGAUUAUAAGUGUAUGGUGGCACACGAUUUUAUUGUUAAGAAUAGGGAAGGGGAGCUCAAAUACAAAUUGUUCUUUCAUAAACAUCAUCCUGAGACUAUUACCCUGCCUUCUCCUUCCUUGUUUGAUUUAUCUUCAGGCUAG